rnacentral:rRNA from 1 species
GUGCCAGCCGCCGCGGUAAUACCGGCAGCCCAAGUGAUGGCCGAUCUUAUUGGGCCUAAAGCGUCCGUAGCUGGCUGCGCAAGUCCGUCGGGAAAUCCACUCGCCCAACGAGUGGGCGUCCGACGGAAACUGCACGGCUUGGGACCGGAAGACUCGAGAGGUACGUCCGGGGUAGGAGUGAAAUCCUAUAAUCCUGGACGGACCACCAAUGGGGAAACCACGUCGAGAGACCGGACCCGACAGUGAGGGACGAAAGCCAGGGUCUCGAACCGGAUUAGAAACCCCUGUAGUCC